UACGGGGGGGGGCAAGCGUUGUUCGGAAUUACUGGGCGUAAAGGGCGCGUAGGCGGUUUGCUAAGUUGGAUGUGAAAACUCUGGGCUUAACCCAGAGCCUGCAUCCAAAACUAGCAGGCUAGAGUUCUGGAGGGGAUAGCGGAAUUCCUGGUGUAGCGGUGAAAUGCGUAGAUAUCAGGAGGAACACCGGUGGCGAAGGCGGCUAUCUGGACAGAAACUGACGCUGAGGGCGCGAAAGCUAGGGGAGCAAACAGG
rnacentral:rRNA from 1 species